rnacentral:rRNA from 1 species
CCUACGGGUGGCAGCAGUGGGGAAUAUUGGUCAAUGGGCUUACGCCUGAACCAGCCAAGUCGCGUGAGGGAAGACUGCCCUAUGGGUUGUAAGCCUCUUUUGUCAGGGAGCAAUUGGCGCUACGUGUAGCGUUAUCUAGAGUACCUGAAGAAAAAGCAUCGGCUAACUCCGUGCAGGCGGCCGCGGUAAUACGGGGGAUUCGGGCGUUAGCCGGCUUAAUGGGGUUUAAAGGGUGCGUAGGCGGAAUGCCAAGUCAGCGGUAAAAUCGCGGGGCCCAACCUCGGUCCGCCGUUGAAACUGGCGUGCUGGAGUGGGCGAGAAGUAGGCGGAAUGCGUGGUGUAGCGGUGAAAUGCAUAGAUAUCACGCAGAACUCCGAUUGCGAAGGCAGCAUACCGGAGCCCAACUGACGCUGAAGCACGAAAGCGUGGGUAUCGAACAGGAUUAGAUACCCCUGUAGUC